AAUACAUGCAAGUCGAGCGAGCGGAACCACAGAUUUACUUCGGUAAUGACGUUGGGAAAGCGAGCGGCGGAUGGGUGAGUAACACGUGGGGAACCUGCCCCUAAGUCUGGGAUACCAUUUGGAAACAGGUGCUAAUACCGGAUAAUAAAGCAGAUCGCAUGAUCAGCUUUUGAAAGGCGGCGUAAGCUGUCGCUAAGGGAUGGCCCCGCGGUGCAUUAGCUAGUUGGUAAGGUAACGGCUUACCAAGGCGACGAUGCAUAGCCGAGUUGAGAGACUGAUCGGCCACAUUGGGACUGAGACACGGCCCAAACUCCUACGGGAGGCAGCAGUAGGGAAUCUUCCACAAUGGACGCAAGUCUGAUGGAGCAACGCCGCGUGAGUGAAGAAGGUUUUCGGAUCGUAAAGCUCUGUUGUUGGUGAAGAAGGAUAAGGUAGUAACUGGCCUUUAUUUGACGGUAAUCAACCAG
rnacentral:rRNA from 1 species